UCCUAAAUAAACCGUUAUGUUCCGUUAUCGUACAAACGAUAGUUCUUAUUCAACAUAAUACACCUGUAGGGACACCGAGGACCGUUAUGUCCAACAAUGCUGACACCGACCGGCUCCACCCUCCACCUCUACGGGGGUUCGGUCUAUGGUCUCUGCGGGAGGAGAACGCUGAACUUCUGGACGAACCCGUGUCCGGUAACUACCGCCGCUGCUUUAGCCUCGUACCUUGCUGCGGAUCUGACCAGAAGUGGACACUUUUCGGAUGAGUUUCUGUGGUGUUCCGGGCUCCUGCUCCGGUUCACUGUCCGACGACUCGUCCGGGAACCGGGCCGGAGCAGACUCCGUUAAGUCCGCCAUCCUGUGCUCAGACCCCCGGGAGGAACUGGAGAGAGAGCGCCCCCCCGAGGCGGAGAGCGGGGAGCAAUUCGGGGUUUGGUGUCUUGCUCAGGGACACUUGGACAUGGGACAUGGAGCAACCGGGGCCCAAACCACCAACCCUCUCUACCCCUGCGCCACGUCGACCCCGACAUCAGGCUCCUAGUACUUUAGGCACGUAGUACUUCAGGCUUGUAGUAUUUGGCUUGUGGUACUCCUUAAAGCUUGAAGGCUCUGUGGGCUUCUUCUAUGAACCCUCAUUUUAGUUCUUUCCAUAGAUUUUCAAUUGGAUUAGAAAAAAGUCCGGUCAUUGGCUCGGCCAUUCUAGCAGCUUUAUGUCUUUCUCUGGUUUGGGAUAAAGGUCUUAUUGAAAUGUCCACCACAGAUGUUUCAUCUUCAUCAUCCUGGAAGAUGGCAGCAGAUUUCUAUCCACCCAUUCUUCCCCAUUGUAGGAAGUUUGCUGACAACCAGCACCCCACUGUGACGUUCCCACCUCCACUUUUGGUGUGCUGUUAUUUUGGCAGAGGUGGAAAGAGUACUGAAAAUGUGUACUCAGUAUAAGUAUUGUUACAUUGCUUAAAUUGUACUCAAUUACAAGUAAAAGUACUAGUGUUAGAUUAGCGGUUGAAGUCUUGUAAGCAGAUUCACCGUGUUGAAGUUUGCACUUCAUCUGGACGCCGUCUCCUUUUCUCCCUUUGUUAAUGAAACAUUCCUCCUGGUACGAGCCGUCGUCCUCCGUCUUUUGUUCAUUAUUGUCCACGAUCACUUCUGUCUCCAUUCUUUUUCAAAUUCUCAGUCCACUCUUUACUGUGUAUUUUACCUCCAGAAACAUUUGCCUGCUAAAGCAGCGAGUUGUCCUUUGCUUAUAUUAUGUCUCAGAAUAAUUAGCGAGGACGCGAUCUGACAG
ensembl:lncRNA